rnacentral:lncRNA from 10 species
GUGAACCAGGGAGGCGGAGCUUGCAGUGAGCAGAGAUCGCACCACUGAACUCCAGCCUGGACGACAGAGCGAGACUCCGUCUCAAAAAAAAAAAAAAAAAAAAAAAAGAAAGAAGACAGGAAACAGAUCACGCUGAGUUUUUACUGCAAGAAACCUAUGAAAAGUACCCAUUACUAAUAGCACUCAGAAUGUGCUUCCACAUUCUAUGCGCUCAGACUUCAAAAUCUCACCAACUUCAACAUCCAGGAGAAUAGAAGAGAUGGAAAUAAAGGAGGCAAGAAUGGUUUACAGAUCCAGCUGAAACCGAAUGGAAGGAAAGGCAGUGGAUUUCAUCAAGAUCCUACAGACAAGGUGUAAGAUCUGUAAUUUCGAAAGGACAUAUACACAAACUCAUUCAGCCACAUUCCAGUCUAGAAUUAACAUGAAGAAAAUCUAUUAACAAUGGUAAAGCUUUUUUCCUCUCCAAAUGAAUAUGGCAAUACCCAUUCUGGAGAACUCUUAUUCUCUGUUGAAAUAACACCACUUUUCUAUAUGGCCAUCUAGCAAUAAAUAUAAAAAUG